AUAUUGGGCAAUGCCCGCAAGGGUGACCCGGCAACGCCGCGUGGAGGAUGAAUGUCGUAAGAUUGUAAACUCCUGUUAGAGGGGAAGAAUAGUACCGGUUGGACCGGUAUAUGACUGUACCCUCAGAGAAAGCCCCGGCUAACUACGUGCCAGCAGCCGCGGUAAUACGUAGGGGGCAAGCGUUUUCCGGAUUUACUGGGUGUAAAGGGCGCGCAGGCUGGAUAAAAAGUCAGUGGUGAAAUCCUACAGCUUAACUGUAGAACUGCAUUUGAUACUUUUAUUCUUGAGUUCGGGAGAGAGAGACGGAGUUCCAGGUGUAGUGGUGAAAUACGUAGAUAUCUGGAAGAACACCAGUUGCGAAGGCGGUCUCUUGGUCCGACACUGACGCUGAGGCGCGAAAGCGUGGGGAGCAAACA
rnacentral:rRNA from 1 species